GCUUGUUCACUUUGGUCACUUCGAGAAAAUAAUGCAAGCCAUCAACAAACUCCUUGGUCCGUCUGUCCACAUUAUACAUCCAUUACCGAUCCAUCUGCAUCGUAUUGUGCGAGAAAUGGACAUAGGUCUUCGUAUUAGAUAAAGAACUUGAUCAAUAUUCAUAAUUCACACUAAUCAACCUACAUAAUGGAUUGAAACAAUUCACAUAAAAAUUACACCAUUGCACAUUCAUAACAAUCGCUAAAGGUACAUAUAAAGAUUACACUCAUAACAAGACAAUAAAGAUACAUAUGGACUAAAGAUUACAGACGCUCCAUAGUGGACUUCACGUAGCCAAUUAUCCUAAAAUAAUGAUACAACAUAGCAGAAUGUUCGUCCUCCAAGCUAUCUUUGCACUUAACUCAAUCAUCUCCGAAGUCCAUCGAGAGUCACCUCCACAUAUCCUUAAUUUUAUUGCAAUGACUAAAUAUUAAAACCACAUUUACUCUAAUUUUUUCUCAUACAUAAUAUUGAAAUCCUCUCCAUUCUCCCUCACAUUCUAGCUCAAAAUCCUCUCCAUUCUCCCUCACAUUCUCCCACACAUCAAGUUGUUUUAACUAAUACAAAUCAUAUACAACAAGCAACUAUCCAUCAGUAGCACAAAAAUAUGUAUAAAUAAAAAUCCUCCCCAUUCUCCCUCAUUCUAGAAAAACUCAAUUUUCUCCCUCUCUAAAGCAUAAAACAAUGCAUAAUAAUACUAAAUAAAAGGAGGAUGAAGUAUCUAACCUUCGCAACACUUUGGAUGAGUGAAAUUUCCACAAAAAUGAAGAAAAAAUUCGGGCAGCACCUCCCCUAAGCUUGCUUCAUCGCCAUGGAGAGGAGGAUGAAGCUCUCUGGUGGAGUGGAGUGGCUCGGGCUGGAGGAGGAAUAAGAGGUCUCUGUCUUGCGAGAUUGUAGGGGAGGAGAUUUUAUCCCUGUUGGAAAUUUAAACGGGACAAAAACAAACCCCUUUUAUCCCAGUUGGAAGUUUACUCCCGGUUGGAAACUCCAACCAGGACAAAAGGGUGUCGCCAUCGGUGGGAAAAAUCUGACCGUCACAAUCGAGACUAAAGGGGAGGCUUUAGUCCCGAUUGGUAUUUACAAUGAGGACUAAAGCUCCCUCCCAAUCUAGCCUAUCGUGGCGCGUCACUUUUAGUCAUGAGCCAACUUUAAACUAGGACAAAAGGGGUGGAUGGAAGGUGAGUUCUCCAGUAGUGUUGUUAUAGUUGCUACUGAAAAUUUUUGUACAUAAGUAAGGCACGUUACCUCAGAAUUCUAAAGCAGAUGUUCUGUUUAAGUGUUUAACUAAUGCUUACCCAAUAUAUCGUAAUGUGUUUAUGUCAACUUUAAACUUUUUGUUCUAAGCAAGGCAAUUAUUUUCACAUGUACAAUUGUGGUAAUCCUUUCUGGUGGAGAGAAUUUGAAGUGGCAAUUACAGUGAUGCAAUUAGUAUUGCCAAGUUAUUUGAUGUGUAUUGCCGUUAAGGACUUCUUAGCUGGAGAGUUCCCGAAACAGUAGUCAUGUAUAUCUUCCAAUAAUGUUUCUUUUCGUUAUUUAUUUGCAGCCAAAAGCUAGCGUCCCUCAGAAUUUUAGAUGCAGA
rnacentral:lncRNA from 1 species